rnacentral:rRNA from 1 species
GAUGAACGCUGGCGGCGUGCCUAAUACAUGCAAGUCGAGCGAACAGACGAGGAGCUUGCUCCUCUGACGUUAGCGGCGGACGGGUGAGUAACACGUGGAUAACCUACCUAUAAGACUGGGAUAACUUCGGGAAACCGGAGCUAAUACCGGAUAAUAUAUUGAACCGCAUGGUUCAAUAGUGAAAGACGGUUUUGCUGUUACUUAAAGAUGGAUCCGCGCCGCAUUAGCUAGUUGGUAAGGUAACGGCUUACCAAGGCAACGAUGCGUAGCCGACCUGAGAGGGUGAUCGGCCACACUGGAACUGAGACACGGUCCAGACUCCUACGGGAGGCAGCAGUAGGGAAUCUUCCGCAAUGGGCGAAAGCCUGACGGAGCAACGCCGCGUGAGUGAUGAAGGUCUUCGGAUCGUAAAACUCUGUUAUUAGGGAAGAACAAAUGUGUAAGUAACUAUGCACGUCUUGACGGUACCUAAUCAGAAAGCCACGGCUAACUACGUG